UAGGGAAUAUUGGACAAUGGGCGAAAGCCUGAUCCAGCCAUGCCGCGUGAGUGAUGAAGGCCUUAGGGUUGUAAAGCUCUUUCAGCGGGGAAGAUAAUGACGGUACCCGCAGAAGAAGCCCCGGCUAACUUCGUGCCAGCAGCCGCGGUAAUACGAAGGGGGCUAGCGUUGCUCGGAAUCACUGGGCGUAAAGCGCACGUAGGCGGCUUUCUAAGUCAGGGGUGAAAUCCUGGAGCUCAACUCCAGAACUGCCUUUGAUACUGGAAAGCUUGAGUUCGGGAGAGGUGAGUGGAACUGCGAGUGUAGAAGUGAAAUUCGUAGAUAUUCGCAAGAACACCAGUGGCGAAGGCGGCUCACUGGCCCGAUACUGACGCUGAGGUGCGAAAGCGUGGGGAGCAAACA
rnacentral:rRNA from 1 species